rnacentral:lncRNA from 1 species
GUCCGUCCGUCAGUCCGUCCGUCCGGGUGGCGGUCACUGCCUGCCCUGCGCAGGCGCGCGAGGCCCGUGAGACAGAGGCUUCGCUCGCGGCUGUGCCCGGCUGCCUGGCUCCGUAAACGCCCGAGUGAGGGCCUCCACUCAGCACCCUACCCCGGCUGAAUCUGAGACUGGGAGAGCUUCCCCACCCACACGCCAUCCCAGAGGAAGAGCAAACACAGCCCGUGGAAAAUGAAGCCCUGUUCUGUGGGUCACAAAGGCAAACCCCCAGAAGAGAGGCCAACACGGAAGGCAGCAGGAUCGAGUCCCUAAAUCUCAAGCUCGCAGCGUGCAUGCUGUCCAGUGCUCCCGCUUGGAAAGUCAGAGAGGAAAGGGAAGGAGGAGACCAUGGACAGAAGGGCAGAGAGCCCGAGGUGUUCUGCACCACGUGACCUGGGCACAGGGACACUCACAGCAAAGUCUCCGGCUCACCCGUAUCUGAGCUUCAAAUCCCUCCAGGAAAAUUUCAGGAACAGAGGGA